GUGGCUUACACAUGCAGUCGUGCGAGAAAGUAUCUUCGGAUAUGAGUAGAGCGGCGGACGGGUGAGUAACGCGUAGGAAUUUGCCCAAUAGAGGGGGAUAGCCCGAGGAAACUCGGAUUAAUACCGCAUACGCCCUACGGGGGAAAGGCUGGGAUCUUCGGACCAGUCACUAUUGGAGAAGCCUGCGUAAGAUUAGCUUGUUGGNGGGGUAAAGGCCUACCAAGGCGACGAUCUUUAGCUGGUCUGAGAGGAUGAACAGCCACACUGGAACUGAGACACGGUCCAGACUCCUACGGGAGGCAGCAGUGAGGAAUAUUGCGCANUGGGCGAAAGCCUGACGCAGCGACGUCACGUGAGCGAUGAAGUUUUUCGGAAUGUAAAGCUCUGUCAAGAGGGACGAUUAUGACGGUACCUCUAAAGGAAGCCCCGGCUAACUCCGUGCCAGCAGCCGCGGUAAUACGGAGGGGGCAAGCGUUGUUCGGAAUUACUGGGCGUAAAGGGCGCGUAGGCGGAUUGGUUAGUCAGAUGUGAAAUCCCCGAGCUUAACUUGGGAACUGCAUUUGAUACUGCUGAUCUAGAGUCCGGGAGAGGAUAGUGGAAUUCCCAGUGUAGAGGUGAAAUUCGUAGAUAUUAGGAGGAACACCAGUGGCGAAGGCGACUCUCUGGGCCAAUACUGACGCUGAGGUUCGAAAGCGUGGGGAGCGAACGGGAUUAGAUACCCCGGUAGUCCACGCAGUAAACGAUGAGUGCUAGAUGUUGGGAACAUUAGUUUUCAGUAUCGCAGCUAACGCGUUAAGCACUCCGCCUGGGAAGUACGGCCGCAAGGCUAAAACUCAAAUGAAUUGACGGGGACCCGCACAAGCGGUGGAUCAUGUGGUUUAAUUCGAAGCAACGCGAAGAACCUUACCGGCUCUUGACAUACCAAUCGCGGAUCUA
rnacentral:rRNA from 1 species